GGCAGCGGAAAACUGCUUGGCUCCUCUGGGUUGCUUGUUUGGUAUCUUUCAGGUUGGAGCAGCCUUGGAUGACCUGGAGUCUGGAAUUGUGAGUGCUGCCCUGGUCCUGGGGAGAACAUGAAUACUGGAAUCAAAAGAAUGGACCUUGAACCUGAGGCAGCCCAGGUUGCCUGGCAUUGGGUUGCCGCCAUGUGACCUGCCUCAGAGGCUCAAAGGCUCAUUUAGAAACCUCUCCGUCGCCUCGCUUUAUAUUUUGCUCCUGAUUUCUCCAAGGCUGACACGAGUCACAUGUAAUCAAAUCUGUAUUCCUGGUGGACAAGCCUUGUCGUAAUAGCCUCUGACUCACCACCACGUUGUCUUCAGCUCAGCAGUUCCUUCUAGAAAAUCAUGUUUUUGUACGGCAUGCUCAAUGCUCUCAGCGAACCACGCACCCUAUUAUCUAAAACAAUUAAAAGCAUACAUGCUUAUGUAUAACUCACGUUCAACUGUGUCAAGACAUAAAUACAUACGAAGAUCCAAAUGAAAAAUGCCAACAAUAAAUGACUCUCUGUGAUGUUACUGUUUUUAUUUAUUUAUUUUUAUGCAAUCACUCAUACUAGGCAAACACUGUGUCACUGAGUUACUUUUUACUUCUGUGUUUAGCUUUAAAAUAUAAAUGAAACUUUACUGUUCUUGCAUUCAUACUGUAUUAUAUUUCUGUAUUAUAUUACAUAAAAGAAUGUUUUCAAUAGAAAAUAUAAUUACUUAAAGAAAA